rnacentral:rRNA from 1 species
UGGCGGAUGGGUGAGUAAUGUCUGGGAAACUGCCUGAUGGAGGGGGAUAACUACUGGAAACGGUAGCUAAUACCGCAUAACGUCGCAAGACCAAAGAGGGGGACCUUCGGGCCUCUUGCCAUCGGAUGUGCCCAGAUGGGAUUAGCUAGUAGGUGGGGUAACGGCUCACCUAGGCGACGAUCCCUAGCUGGUCUGAGAGGAUGACCAGCCACACUGGAACUGAGACACGGUCCAGACUCCUACGGGAGGCAGCAUG